rnacentral:rRNA from 1 species
UGCGAUAAGCGCCGGUAAGGUGAUAUGAACCGUUAUAACCGGCGAUACCCGAAUGGGGAAACCCAGUGUGAUUCGUCACACUAUCAUUAACUGAAUCCAUAGGUUAAUGAGGCGAACCGGGGGAACUGAAACAUCUAAGUACCCCGAGGAAAAGAAAUCAACCGAGAUUCCCCCAGUAGCGGCGAGCGAACGGGGAGGAGCCCAGAGCCUGAAUCAGCAUGUGUGUUAGUGGAAGCGUCUGGAAAGGCGCGCGAUACAGGGUGACAGCCCCGUACACAAAAGCGCAUGUGCUGUGAGCUCGAUGAGUAGGGCGGGACACGUGGUAUCCUGUCUGAAUAUGGGGGGACCAUCCUCCAAGGCUAAAUACUCCUGACUGACCGAUAGUGAACCAGUACCGUGAGGGAAAGGCGAAAAGAACCCCGGCGAGGGGAGUGAAAAAGAACCUGAAACCGUGUACGUACAAGCAGUGGGAGCACAGGUUUACCUGUGUGACUGCGUACCUUUUGUAUAAUGGGUCAGCGACUUAUAUUCUGUAGCAAGGUUAACCGAAUAGGGGAGCCGGAGGGAAACCGAGUCUUAAUUGGGCGUUAAGUUGCAGGGUAUAGACCCGAAACCCGGUGAUCUAGCCAUGGGCAGGUUGAAGGUUGGGUAACACUAACUGGAGGACCGAACCGACUAAUGUUGAAAAAUUAGCGGAUGACCUGUGGCUGGGGGUGAAAGGCCAAUCAAACCGGGAGAUAGCUGGUUCUCCCCGAAAGCUAUUUAGGUAGCGCCUCGUGAAUUCAUCUCCGGGGGUAGAGCACUGUUUCGGCUAGGGGGCCAUCCCGGCUUACCAACCCGAUGCAAACUGCGAAUACCGGAGAAUGUUAUCACGGGAGACACACGGCGGGUGCUAACGUCCGUCGUGAAGAGGGAAACAACCCAGACCGCCAGCUAAGGUCCCAAAGUCAUGGUUAAGUGGGAAACGAUGUGGGAAGGCCCAGACAGCCAGGAUGUUGGCUUAGAAGCAGCCAUCAUUUAAAGAAAGCGUAAUAGCUCACUGGUCGAGUCGGCCUGCGCGGAAGAUGUAACGGGGCUAAACCAUG